UUGAACGCUGGCGGCAGGCCUAACACAUGCAAGUCGAACGGUAACAGGAAGAAGCUUGCUUCUUUGCUGACGAGUGGCAGACGGGUGAGUAAUGUCUGGGAAACUGCCUGAUGGAGGGGGAUAACUACUGGAAACGGUAGCUAAUACCGCAUAACGUCGCAAGACCAAAAAGGGGGACCUUCGGGCCUCUUGCCAUCGGAUGUGCCCAGAUGGGAUUAGCUAGUAGGUGGGGUAACGGCUCACCUAGGCGACGAUCCCUAGCUGGUCUGAGAGGAUGACCAGCCACACUGGAACUGAGACACGGUCCAGACUCCUACGGGAGGCAGCAGUGGGGAAUAUUGCACAAUGGGCGCAAGCCUGAUGCAGCCAUGCCGCGUGUAUGAAGAAGGCCUUCGGGUUGUAAAGUACUUUCAGCGGGGAGGAAGGGAGUAAAGUUAAUACCUUUGCUCAUUGACGUUACCCGCAGAAGAAGCACCGGCUAACUCCGUG
rnacentral:rRNA from 1 species